CACACCGCCCGUCACAUCACGAAAGUGGGUGAUACUAGAAGUCGUUUCGCCAACCCGCAAGGGGGCUGACGCCCAAGGUAUGACUCAUGAUUGGGGUG
rnacentral:rRNA from 1 species